GAGGAAAAGAAACCAACCGGGAUUGCCCUAGUAACGGCGAGUGAAGCGGCAAGAGCUCAAAUUUGAAAGCUGGCCCCCUCGGGGUCCGCAUUGUAAUUUGCAGAGGAUGCUUCGGGAACGGCCCCCAUCUAAGUGCCCUGGAACGGGCCGUCAUAGAGGGUGAGAAUCCCGUCUGGGAUGGGGUGGCCGCGCCCGUGUGAAGCUCCUUCGACGAGUCGAGUUGUUUGGGAAUGCAGCUCUAAUUGGGUGGUAAAUUUCAUCUAAAGCUAAAUAUUGGCCGGAGACCGAUAGCGCACAAGUAGAGUGAUCGAAAGAUGAAAAGCACUUUGAAAAGAGAGUUAAACAGCACGUGAAAUUGUUGAAAGGGAAGCGCUUGCGACCAGACUCGCCCGCGGGGUUCAGCCGGCACUCGUGCCGGUGUACUUCCCCGCGGGCGGGCCAGCGUCGGUUUGGGCGGCCGGUCAAAGGCCUCUGGAAGGUAACGCCUCUCGGGGCGUCUUAUAGCCAGGGGUGCCAUGCGGCCUGCCCGGACCGAGGAACGCGCUUCGGCUCGGACGCUGGCAUAAUGGUCGUAAGCGACCCGUCUU
rnacentral:rRNA from 1 species